rnacentral:rRNA from 1 species
AGAGUUUGAUCCUGGCUCAGGACGAACGCUGGCGGCGCGCUUAACACAUGCAAGUCGUACGCUGGGGCUUCGGCCCUGGAGUGGCGGACGGGUGCGUAACACGUGAGCAAUCUGCCCAGAUGGGGGGGAUACCCCGGGGAAACCCGAGUUAAUCCCGCAUGUGGUUAUCCGGCCGGAUGGCUGGGUACCCAAAGGUCCUUCACGGGACUCUGUCUGGAGGAGCUCGCGGCGUAUCAGCUAGUUGGUAGGGUAAUGGCCUACCAAGGCGACGACGCGUAGGGGGUCUGAGAGGAUGGCCCCCCACAUGGGGACUGAGAUACGGCCCCGACUCCUACGGGAGGCAGCAGUGGGGAAUCUUGCGCAAUGGGCGAAAGCCUGACGCAGCGACGCCGCGUGCGGGAGGACGCUUUUCGGAGUGUAAACCGCUGUCGGGAGGGACGAACCGUGUCGGGAGGCAAUGCCCGGCACCUGACGGUACCUUCAAAGGAAGCACCGGCUAACUCUGUGCCAGCAGCCGCGGUAAUACANAGGGUGCAAGCGUUGUUCGGAAUUAUUGGGCGUAAAGCGCACGUAGGCGCGCGUUAAGUCUGACUGUGAAAGACCGGGGCUCAACCCCGGGGCUGCAGCGGAUACUGGCCGGGCUUGAAACACGUAAAGGGCUGGCGGAAUUCCGGGUUGUACGGUGGAAUGCGUAAAGAUCCGGAAAAACACCCGGUUGGCAAAAGCGGCCACCUUGGGCUUGGUCUGAACCCUUAGGUGCAAAGGCGUUGGGGAGCCGAACAGGAUUAAAUAACCCUCUGGGUUGAGUUCCAACCGCCGGGUUAACGAUUGGCACUCCCGCGGGGGGAUCGAGCCCUUUCCGUGGCCAAGCUAACGCGACAAGUGCCCCGCCUGGGGAGUACGGCCGCAAGGCUGAAACUCAAAGGAAUUGACGGGGGCCCGCACAAGCGGUGGAGCAUGUGGUUUAAUUCGAAGCAACGCGAAGAACCUUACCUGGGCUUGACAUGCAUCAGAAAGCCGAGUGAAAGCUCGGUCCUCCUUCGGGACUGUUGCACAGGUGCUGCAUGGCUGUCGUCAGCUCGUGUCGUGAGAUGUUGGGUUAAGUCCCGCAACGAGCGCAACCCUUGCCUGUUGUUGCCAGCAUGGCCGAAAGGCUGAUGGGGACUCGACAGGGACUGCCGGUGAUAAACCGGAGGAAGGUGGGGACGACGUCAAGUCAUCAUGGUCCGUACGUCCAGGGCUACACACGUGCUACAAUGGCUGGGACAAACCGCUGCAAUCCCGCGAGGGGGAGCGAAUCGGAGAAACCCAGUCCAAGUUCGGAUUGCAGUCUGUAACUCGACUGCAUGAAGCUGGAAUCGCUAGUAAUCGUGGAUCAGCUACGCCACGGUGAAUACGUUCCCGGGCCUUGUACACACCGCCCGUCACGCCAUGGAAGUCGGGAGCGCCCGAAGUACGUGGGCCAACCUCGCAAGAGGAGGCAGCGUCCCAAGGCGAGCUCGGUGACUGGGGCGAAGUCGUACAAGGUAGCCGUAGGGGAACCUGCGGCUGGAUCACCUCCUU